AUUGAACGCUGGCGGCAUGCCUUACACAUGCAAGUCGAACGGCAGCGGACCUUCGGGUGCCGGCGAGUGGCGAACGGGUGAGUAAUAUAUCGGAACGUACCUUUCAGUGGGGGAUAACGUAGCGAAAGUUACGCUAAUACCGCAUAUUCUGUGAGCAGGAAAGCAGGGGAGUCGCAAGACCUUGCGCUGAUUGAGCGGCCGAUAUCAGAUUAGCUAGUUGGUGAGGUAAAGGCUCACCAAGGCGACGAUCUGUAGCGGGUCUGAGAGGAUGAUCCGCCACACUGGAACUGAGACACGGUCCAGACUCCUACGGGAGGCAGCAGUGGGGAAUUUUGGACAAUGGGCGCAAGCCUGAUCCAGCCAUGCCGCGUGAGUGAAGAAGGCCUC
rnacentral:rRNA from 1 species